rnacentral:sRNA from 1 species
UUUUGCAUUUUUAGUAGAGACCAGGCGUCACCAUGUUGGCCAGGCUGGUCUGAAACUCCUGGCCUCAAGUGAUCCACACACCUUGGCCUCCCAAAGUGCCGAGAUUACAGGCGUGAGCCACUGCGUCUGGCCAAGUAUAGUAUUCUUAACAUUGAAUUUGUGUUGCAAGGACUCCUGGGAAGAGAGAAGACUCAGGUUUGCCCAUGCCCAUCAGAAGGAGGAGCACACUGCUGUUCUCAGUCUAUUGGUUGUUUCGGCAUAGAUCUUUGUGGAUUUUGUUUCUGUUUCUUUUUGUACCCAAUAGCCAUAACUAUUGUUUGCUAAUUCUUUUCCUUUUCUUUAUUGCAGACUUACCCUCUAGUUCUCUGCUUCCUUUUUACCACCUUUCCACUCUCCUUACCUCCCCAACACUCAAAUUACCAGAAGCCUUUGGAAGAAUACAUUUCCUCACUGGUUUGUUUACCCCAAAUUUAUAUUAACUUUUUACCAUUCUAGGAGUUUUGAUCUGGGUAACGUAGGAAGUUGAAGAAGAAAGUAUUGAGACUCUUUAUCAAUGCCUUUUGAUAGCAUUUGUGUAGCUGAAAAUAAUCUUGGGGCCAAGAUAAUGACCCUAACUUUAGAGAAAGAUAAGGACUAGGUCCCUGAAAGAUUGAACUUCCCUCUCAACCUAUAGUUGUGGCUUGUUAUAUUACAGGGAGAAAAUAUCAGAUACACAGAAAGACUGGAAGUUCUUUGAGGUGAGUCACUUAUGUUUUGGUGCUUUUUGAUAUGAAACAAUGUAUACCAACAACCAAUGGCCAUUUGUCAGGCACUUAUUUUUAGCGAAUAUUCUUUCUAAAAAACGGUGCUAACAAGCUAUAUGCUAUACCUUAAAUUGUUGGUCUGAUUUUCCUCGUGCAAAAGUGAGUAUGUGUAUAAUUUUUCAUUGUUUCAGGAAUAUUGGGAAAUUGGGUCAUCUGGGUUUGUGUCUGCUUAGCUGUGUUAUACAGACAGGUGGGAGUUUUCCAUUUCACAGCUAAGGAUUGUGAUUCUUGUCUAUUUUUUGUUGUAGUCCUUUUACACUUUCUGUACAUAUGUGGCUUGGAUUGUCUUCCGACGUCAACACUUGACAGAGAUUGAAGAAGAAGUAGGGAGACUCUUUCGUACCAAUAUGUUCAACAUUCCUCGCAGGAGGCGUGAAGAUGAGGAAUCAGGAGGGGAAAAGAAACGCAUGACUUUUGUUCAGUUCAGGAGAAUGAUGGCAAAACGCCCAGCAAUUAAAAAAGCCAUCAACAUGCGUUCUCCAGUCAUGUCUACUCUGCUGCCAUCUCUCAGAGAAAAAGCUCAAAACGUCUUUGAGAAAAAGUAUCAUCAAGCAGACGUCAGAUUCCCAGCCGAGAUGCAAAAGCAUGUGGGAACUCUGGACUCUGUGCCCAUGCCGGUAGUUGGCAUCUUGGGGGAGCCUCGAUAUCUAUUCAACCCGCAUACGCUUCACCCCCUUGAUCCAGAAGAAAACACAAAAUCAUUUGGGAGACAUCCUUCCUUGAUGGAAAAAAAUAACAUGAGGAUUCAGGAUACACUGGACUUGGUCAUGAAAACACUGUCCUCUCAUACAUCAUGCCCUAAGUAACCUGGUACAUUCCAUAUCUCAAGUAAACUACUUUGACUUUAU